rnacentral:tRNA from 1 species
GAGGGUAUAGCUCAGUGGUAGAGUGCAUGCCUAGCAUGCAUGAGGUCCUGGGUUCCAUCCCCAGUAUCUCCA